AUUGAACGCUGGCGGCAGGCUUAACACAUGCAAGUCGAACGAGUGGAGGACGGGUGAGUAAUGCUUGGGCAUCUAGUUUCUGGAGGGGGAUAACUACGGGAAACUGUAGCUAAUAACGCGUACCAUAGGCUGAGCCCAAGUGGGAUUAGGUAGUUGGUGAGGUGAAGGCUCACCAAGCCGACGAGCUCUAGCUGGUCUGAGAGGAUGACCAGCCACACGGGGACGGAGACACGGCCCAGACUCCUACGGGAGGCAGCAGUGGGGAAUAUUGCACAAUGGGCGAAAGCCUGAUGCAGCCAUGCCGCGUGUAUGAAGAAGGCCUUCGGGUUGUAAAGUACUGUCAGCGAGGAGGCGUUACUCGCAGAAGAAGCACCGGCUAACUCCGUGCCAGCAGCCGCGGUAAUUC
rnacentral:rRNA from 1 species